GACGAACGCUGGCGGCGUGCUUAACACAUGCAAGUCGAACGGAAAGGCCCUGCUUUUGUGGGGUGCUCGAGUGGCGAACGGGUGAGUAACACGUGAGUAACCUGCCCUUGACUUUGGGAUAACUUCAGGAAACUGGGGCUAAUACCGGAUAGGAGCUCCUGCUGCAUGGUGGGGGUUGGAAAGUUUCGGCGGCUGGGGAUGGACUCGCGGCUUAUCAGCUUGUUGGUGGGGUAGUGGCUUACCAAGGCUUUGACGGGUAGCCGGCCUGAGAGGGUGACCGGCCACAUGGGGACUGAGAUACGGCCCAGACUCCUACGGGAGGCAGCAGUGGGGAAUAUUGCACAAUGGGCGGAAGCCUGAUGCAGCAUCGCCGCGUGCGGGAUGACGGCCUUCGGGUUGUAAACCGCUUUCGCCUGUGACGAAGCGUGAGGGACGGUAAUGGGUAAAGAAGCACCGGCUAACUACGU
rnacentral:rRNA from 1 species